rnacentral:rRNA from 1 species
AUGAAUGUCGCAUUAAUGCUGAGAUGGGUUUGGUGGAUACUGCACGGUGAGGGAGGCUUAUGGCUCCAGCUCAUUCAGGCAAAAUAACUUAGGGGCAAGCCUCUUUUGACAUGCUCUUAGAUGGGAGGGUCACAGGUUUGGCGCUCCAUUCAGAUGAUCAAGGAGGAAAUCCGCCUAGGGAUUUCCUUCUCCAUAGGGAAUGGAAAUGGGACCCAACUCUGGUAG